GUAACGGCGAGUGAAGCGGUAAAAGCUCAAAUUUGAAAUCUGGCUCUUUUAGAGUCCGAAUUGUAAUUUGUAGAAGAUGCUUCGGGUGUGGUUCCGGUCUAAGUUCCUUGGAACAGGACGUCAUAGAGGGUGAGAAUCCCGUAUGUGACUGGAUACCUAUGCUCAUGUGAAGCUCUUUCGACGAGUCGAGUUGUUUGGGAAUGCAGCUCAAAAUGGGAGGUAUAUUUCUUCUAAAGCUAAAUAUUGGCCAGAGACCGAUAGCGCACAAGUAGAGUGAUCGAAAGAUGAAAAGCACUUUGGAAAGAGAGUUAAACAGUACGUGAAAUUGUUGAAAGGGAAGCGCUUGCAAUCAGACUUGCACUUGGUGUUCAUCAGGGUCUCGUACCCUGUGUACUUCAUCAAGUUCAGGCCAGCAUCAGUUUGAGUGGUUAGAUAAAGGCUUAGAGAAUGUGGCCCUCUUCGGGGGGUGUUAUAGCUC
rnacentral:rRNA from 1 species